UUUCACUCUGCCAUGGCCAUGGGCUUAAGGACUCAAUCUUUCGAUCAUCAUAGGACUACUCCUCUUAUCUACCGAGGUUGAUAGAUCCUAUCUUGGUGCAAUCUGAUUUUUACAAUGAAUAUGCUACAGCCAACAUACACCUCAGGGUUCUGAAUGGCUAGGAGAUCGAGUUAUGGUGUAGUCAAACUAUAACACACUCAAAGUGAACUGU
rnacentral:lncRNA from 1 species